CCCCCCCCCCCCCCCCCCCCCCCCCCCCCCCCCCCCCCCCCCCCCCCCCCCCCCCCCCCCCCCCAGGUCACCCAGGGUCACUCAGGGGUCAGUCGGGUCACUCAGGGGUCACUCAGGGUCACUCAGAGUCACUCAGGGUCACUCAGGGGUCACUCAGGGGUCAGUGUCAAACAGGUGUCACACAGGUAUCACUCAGUGUCACUCAGUGUCACUCACCUGCCAAGUGUCACUCAGUGGUCACUCAGAGGUCACUCGGGUCACUCAGGUGUCACUCUGGUGUUCCUCAGUGGUCGCUCAUUGGUCCCAGGGGUCACUCAGGGUCACUCAGGGGUCACAGUUGUCACUCACGGGUCACUCAGGGGUCACUCAGGGUCAAUCAAAUGUCACUCAGUGUCACCCAGUGUCUCUCCCCCCUCCCAGGUGUCACUCAGGUGUCACACAGGUGUCACACAGGGUCACACAGGUGUCACUCAGGGUCACUCAGGGUCACACAGGGUCACUCAGGGGUCACUCAGGGUCACACAGGUGUCACUCAGGGGUCACAGGUGUCACACAGGUGUCACACAGGUGUCACAGGUGUCACACAGGUGUCACCUGCGGCAGGUGGCGCUGCGCUCGCUGCCCGAGGAGGCGGUGAAGGAGGCUCUGGAGUACAAGGUGCUGCAGUCGCAGUUCUCGCUGCUCUACCACGAGAGCCUGCAGGUGAAGACGCAGCUGGACGAGGCGCGGGCGCUGCUGCUGGCCACCAAGAACAGCCACCUGCGGCACAUCGAGCACAUGGAGAGCGACGAGCUGGGCGUGCAGAAGCGGCUGCGCACCGAGGUGAUCCAGCUGGAGGACACCUUGGCCCAGGUGCGCAAGGAGUACGAGAUGCUGCGCAUCGAGUUCGAGCAGAACCUGGCGGCCAACGAGCAGGCGGGCCCCAUUAACCGCGAGAUGCGUCACCUGAUCAGUUCCCUGCAGAACCACAACCACCAGCUCAAGGGGGACGUGCAGCGCUACAAGCGCAAACUGCGCGAGGUGCAGGCCGAGAUCGGCAAGGUGAGCUCACCUGCGGGCACCUGGGGGCACCUGGGGGCACCUGGGGGCACCUGGGCACACCUGGACACACCUGAGCACAGCUGGGACACACCUGGGCACACCUGGGCACACCUGAGACACACUUGGGCACAGCUGGGACACACCUGAGACACACCUGGGAGACAUUUGGAGACACCUGAGACACACCUGGCCCCUUUAAGAACUGGGCAUGGUCCCUUUGAAUUUGGGGCUGUGGCUCCUUUAAGACAUGGGCGUGGCCAGUUGAAAGGUGUGUCCUCUUCUAAAAGGGGUGUGGCCCCUUUAAGGCAGUGGGUGGGUCUUGAAGGGGCGUGGCCGCAUUAAAAGGGGUGUGGCCAACCCGACCGAGUGGUGUGGCUCCUUUAAGAGUGGGUGUGGUCGCUGGAAGGGGCGUGGCCAAUCUAAAAAUGGGACCUUGUUCCUUUAAGAGAUGUAGUUAACAGAAAGAAU
rnacentral:lncRNA from 12 species